AAUAGAUACCCCGGUAGUCCACGCCGUAAACGAUGAGUGCUAAGUGUUAGAGGGUUUCCGCCCUUUAGUGCUGCAGCUAACGCAUUAAGCACUCCGCCUGGGGAGUACGGCCGCAAGGCUGAAACUCAAAGGAAUUGACGGGGGCCCGCACAAGCGGUGGAGCAUGUGGUUUAAUUCGAAGCAACGCGAAGAACCUUACCAGGUCUUGACAUCCUCUGACAACCCUAGAGAUAGGGCUUUCCCCUUCGGGGGACAGAGUGACAGGUGGUGCAUGGUUGUCGUCAGCUCGUGUCGUGAGAUGUUGGGUUAAGUCCCGCAACGAGCGCAACCCUCGAUCUUAGUUGCCAGCAUUCAGUUGGGCACUCUAAGGUGACUGCCGGUGACAAACCGGAGGAAGGUGGGGAUGACGUCAAAUCAUCAUGCCCCUUAUGACCUGGGCUACACACGUGCUACAAUGGAUGGUACAAAGGGCUGCAAACCUGCGAAAGGUAAGCGAAAUCCCAUAAAAGCCAUUCUCAGUUCGGAUUGCAGG
rnacentral:rRNA from 1 species